GAUUCUCCAGAUAAACCUUCACAAAGCUGCUGGAUCAUCGCACUAAGAUUGGAGGAAGAAGCUUCCCAUCCGCACAAACACUGAGAUCUCAGCACUCAACCCUGAGGAAAGAGAAAGAUGCCCAUUUCUGAAAAAUGUUUACUGCAGGUUAGAAGAUAAAGAAGAAAUCUGAAUCUCUGAUUCAAAGCCAUUGUCACAAGUUAAAAGCUUACAAAGAAACAGAACUCAAAAUCCCUGCUGUUGCAAUCACUUCCUAAUAGAUACUGAAUUUCAUGAAGAAACCAAAUUCCUAAAUCAAGAUGCAUGAGAGCUAAAAAGAGGAAACUGAGGAAGCUGCAAUGUGGUUUAGAAAUGGGCUAGAGUCUGGACUCCAGAUGAUGUCACUUCCUCUUGAGUGCAGUCGUUGCUGUGGUAACUGUGGCUGAUUGUUUGAUCAGGUCCACUGCAUGAGACGUUCACCACACAGACGUUAACACUUA